UAAAAGAAUGGAGCAGACAUAAAGUCGAUGCGCGCUAUUGAAAUGUUAAACAGAAAAGAUGGCAAUUUUAAAGUUGAAGAAAAUGGCGGAUGUCUGUGAAGUGUGUGGAAGUGUCACGUGGAAGUACAAAGUGCCUUGUUGCUUAAUUAAAUAUUGCUCGGUGACUUGUU